ACGUUGAAACACCGGCACCCGUACGAUAACGAAAGUUAAGCAACGUCGAGUCUGGUCAGUACCUAGAUGGGUGACCGCUUGGGAAUACCAGGUGCUGUAAG